ACAUGCGAGUCGAGCGGCAGCGGGGAAAGUAGCUUGCUACUUUUGCCGGCGAGCGGCGGACGGGUGAGUAAUGCCUGGGAAAUUGCCCAGUCGAGGGGGAUAACAGUUGGAAACGACUGCUAAUACCGCAUACGCCCUACGGGGGAAAGCAGGGGACCUUCGGGCCUUGCGCGAUUGGAUAUGCCCAGGUGGGAUUAGCUAGUUGGUGAGGUAAUGGCUCACCAAGGCGACGAUCCCUAGCUGGUCUGAGAGGAUGAUCAGCCACACUGGAACUGAGACACGGUCCAGACUCCUACGGGAGGCAGCAGUGGGGAAUAUUGCACAAUGGGGGAAACCCUGAUGCAGCCAUGCCGCGUGUGUGAAGAAGGCCUUCGGGUUGUAAAGCACUUUCAGCGAGGAGGAAAGGUUGGUAGCUAAUAACUGCCAGCUGUGACGUUACUCGCAGAAGAAGCACCGGCUAACUCCGUGCCAGCAGCCGCGGUAAUACGGGAGGGUGCAAGCGUUAAUCGGAAUUACUGGGCGUAAAGCGCACGCAGGGCGGUUGGAUAAGUUAGAUGUGAAAGCCCCGGGCUCAACCUGGGGAAUUGCAUUUAAAACUGUCCAGCUAGAGUCUUGUAGAGGGGGGUAGAAUUCCAGGUGUAGCGGUGAAAUGCAGUAGAGAUCUGGAGGAAUACCGGGGGCGAAGGCGGCCCCCUGGACAAAGACUGACGCUCAGGUGCGAAGCGGUGGGGAGCAAACAGGAUUAGAUACCCUGGUAGUCCACGCCGUAAACGAUGUCGAUUUGGAGGCUGUGUCCUUUGAGACUUGGCUUCCGAGAAGACGUGAGCGCGUUAAAAUCCGACCGCCUGGGGAGUACGGCCGCGAGGGUUAAAAACUCAAAAAUGGAUGUUGGACGGGGGGGCCCCGCACAAAGCGGGGGAGCAUUGUGGUUUAAUGUCGGAUUGCAAACAGCGGAAGAACCUUACCUGGA
rnacentral:rRNA from 1 species